AACGUACGCUGGCGGCACGCCUAACACAUGCAAGUCGAACGAAGUAGCAAUACUUAGUGGCAGACGGGUGAGUAACAUGUAGGUAUCUGCCCUUUGGCCUGGAAUAACACGAGGAAACUUGUGCUAAUACCGGAUAAGUCUUUACGGAGAAAGCUUUAUGCACCAUUGGAUGAGCCUGCACUUGAUUAGUUUGUUGGUGGGGUAAUGGCCUACCAAGACUGUGAUCAAUAGCUGAUUUGAGAGGAUGAUCAGCCACAUUGGGACUGAGACACGGCCCAAACUCCUACGGGAGGCAGCAGUGGGGAAUCUUGCACAAUGGAGGAAACUCUGAUGCAGCGAUGCCGCGUGAGUGAAGAAGGCCCUUGGGUUGUAAAGCUCUUUCGUCGGGGAAGAAAAUGACUGUACCCGAAUAAGAAGGUCCGGCUAACUUCGUGCCAGCAGCCGCGGUAAUACGAAGGGACCUAGCGUAGUUCGGAAUUACUGGGCUUAAAGAGUUCGUAGGUGGUUGAAAAAGUUGGUGGUGAAAUCCCAGAGCUUAACUCUGGAACUGCCAUCAAAACUUUUCAGCUAGAGUAUGAUAGAGGAAAGCAGAAUUUCUAGUGUAGAGGUGAAAUUCGUAGAUAUUAGAAAGAAUACCAAUUGCGAAGGCAGCUUUCUGGAUCAUUACUGACACUGAGGAACGAAAGCAUGGGUAGCGAAGAGGAUUAGAUACCCUCGUAGUCCAUGCCGUAAACGAUGUGUGUUAGACGUUGGAAAUUUAUUUUCAGUGUCGCAGCGAAAGCGAUAAACACACCGCCUGGGGAGUACGACCGCAAGGUUAAAACUCAAAUGAAUUGACGGGGACCCGCACAAGUAGUGGAGCAUGUGGUUUAAUUCGAAGAUACGCGCAGAACCUUACCAACACUUGACAUGUUCGUCGCGACUUUAAGAGAUUAAAGUUUUCGGUUCGGCCGGACGAAACACAGGUGCUGCAUGGCUGUCGUCAGCUCGUGUCGUGAGAUGUUGGGUUAAGUCCCGCAACGAGCGCAACCCUCACUUUUAGUUGCCAUCAUUAAGUUGGGCACUCUGAAAGAACUGCCAGUGAUAAGCUGGAGGAAGGUGGGGAUGACGUCAAGUCCUCAUGGCCCUUACGUGUUGGGCUACACACGUGCUACAAUGGUAUCUACAACAGGAAGCAAGACUGCGAAGUUAAGCAAAUCCUUAAAAGAUACCUCAGUUCGGAUUGCACUCUGCAACUCGAGUGCAUGAAGCUGGAAUUACUAGUAAUCGUGGAUCAGCGUGCCACGGUGAAUGCGUUCCCGGGUCUUGUACACACCGCCCGUCACACCAUGGGAGUUGGUUCUACCUUAAGGCAAGGUUUAAAACCCUUGACCACGGUAUAGUCAGCGACUGGGGUG
rnacentral:rRNA from 1 species